CAAAGACCGCAAUGACUUUUGC
rnacentral:miRNA from 1 species